GCCAAUUUUUUCCAGUUCUCCCGUGAAAUUUGUAGCGUCACCAAUGUGAAGAGCAAAACCUCCUUUUUCUUCCCUCAUUUUUCCCCUAUCAUGAAAAAGUAUCGUAUCCUUCAUUCGACAUUCUCUCUGUGCAAAGCAAUCCUCUUCGUGUUCGGCUGUUCGCCCACGCCCUCGGGAUCUCUAGGUAUCCACACGCCGCUGCCGUCAAGUUCUCCAGUAUCCGCACGUCUCCCCCGCUGCUUCUAUCGGUAUCUACAAGUUCGUCGUCGAGUUCUCCAAGUCCACACACCCCCUUCACUGCACUUGCUUUGUUUGUCGCUUCACUCUCUUUGUUCCAUGUCCAAUGUUCCAAACUCUUCAAUUUAUAAUUUAAGGAUUUUUUCGCUUUUGGUGUAAAAACAUAUUGCAUUUUUAAGUUUCAAUCUCUAAUAUACACCUCACAACWGUUGAAGGAGUCGUGCAGGGCGUCUCAGAGAAAUUGCUCGUMUUCGUUCUCUUCGAGUUCGUUUCUCUAUUAUUUUUGCUUCUACUACUAAUUUUGACCUCUGUCGCUUUUCUAUUUCCCAAUCUUGAUUUGUUUCUUUGAUUUGGGUUUCCAGAUUAUAUGUGUGUGUUUGACAAGUUGGUGGCUGAUUUUUCUUUUUUGUGUUUUUAUGAUUUUCAAGCGGUGGAUGGUUUCUCUAAAUGUGUGGUGACUGGCUUGCUUUUUUAUGGGUUGGAGUGUUGUGUUCCCUUAAAUGGUGUUGUUUUGGGUUGUAGUGGUUUUUUAUUCAUCAUUCUUAAAAUAUUUUUGAGAGAUUUCUUAGAGAGGUAGAAAGAAUUUGUAAUAAUGCGACUUUCUUUUAAGAUAAAUACGCGUUCUCGUACAUUAUCAAUUCUUUACCAAAAUCAACAAAUAGGUCACCAUCAGAAUAAGAGAUUGUGGCAAAAAKAAGACAAAGGGAUUUUGUUAUAUAUGUAAGACUUAAGGAUGACAAAUCAUUGAGAAAAAGGAGGCUGAGRCUUUAGGAUUCUUAAAUUGGCAUAAGCAAAAUGAGGGCUGAAACAAAACAGCUAGUUACUGUUACUCUUGCGAUUGGGAAUAACACUAUUAAAAAAAUAGAGGAUGAGCUAGUGUAACCCRUAUACCUUUAAACUUCUCUUCUUUAGUAGUACCGAGCGUAGUGUUAAUAACCUAGGUUUGUUUAGGAGGGAGAGUAGGUUCACUGUAGUUUCCUUGAGGUCUCCAUUUUCUUUUCCCUUUUUUCARUGUGAGAUUUUUAAAGGUUUGAUUCAAUCUCUUUUGUUUGAUUGUGCUAAAAAUGUUAUUGAUUUGUAUUCUAUUAAAAGUUUCCAUUAUUGAGCAGAAAACCGUUGAGUAGUGGCCUUCAUAUUCUCCUUAGAGGUGUUUGUGCAUUAACAGUAGUGAUUUUCUUCCGUUUUGCCAAAAAUUGCAGAUAGAUCACAUAAAGAAGAGGUGGAAGUAGCUCUGCUAGUUGGUGUUGMUUUACCUUCUUUGUCUGCAAUAUUCCCAACUGAUUCUGUACAGGGAARGAUGCCUUUUUCAAGGACUUGAGGUGCGAGGGAAGACUUGACAAGAAUUUCGUUCAGAAAGUAAUGGUCAUUGUGAAUUAUUUUUUGUAUACAUAAUUUGUUCCCUUGUCAUUUUUCUUUGCUAAUUCAACAAAGAUAAACAUMUUGACAAGUAAAGGGGAGUGUUUUUUCCCCAUCGAUAAUGGUUUAUUAUUGUGUUGUCCYAUUUGGAUAGAGAUUAUGUUUAGACCGAGGUAAUUGGCUGAAUGAGGAGWUGAUGGUUAGAUUGUUUAUGCAAUGAAACAUUUAUGAGCUUUUUUUUUGCAAAAUAUAGAUUAUUAUCUAGAUAAUGUUGCUAAGAUAGCAAAUUGUUUCUAGAAUUUUUGUGAGAGUUAUGCAAUUUAUGUWCUUUCCUUGAAUUCUAUUCAUGUGGUCAUGAUAGGGAAAAAAUAAAAAAUUACUGAUAUGCUCUAUGGUAUUGUGUGGCUUAUUUUUCUGGUAUGUAAAUUACUAGUUAUGUGUUUUGUUAUCUUUAUUAUUUAUCUAUUUCUACCUUAAUCUGAAGUGUUAGAUUUGAAGAAGAUGGGUCGCGAGGAGAGUUUGAUUUUUGAAACUUAAUCUAGAGAGUGAGAUUUAUGUUAUUGGUUUGAGUUUUUUAUGCCUUCAUUUCCUUACUACAGAUUAAGAUCUAAUGAGAAUAUUCUACAUCUGAACCUAUAAUUUACAUGUCUUAACUUUUUUGUUUUCGUGGAGUUCAGAUCUUUUAUAAGUCCUUCAACAAGAGUUUUGAAGGUCGCUGAAUCGUGUCCGAGAAGGAAGAUUAUCAAGAGGCUAAUUGAUCUGCACCAUUGUACCUAGUACCCAACAUCAGAGGAGUUGAGUAUUGAAAAACAAAAUUCAAGGCAUUUGAUUUGUGGGGACAUCAAAUUGUUUAUAGAGAGUCAAGAAGGAUUACUUUGCGAAGGUAAAAUUCAUAGGCCCGACAAUUUACGAUUUGGCAUCAUGAAGACAAAUGCACCGGUAAGUUAGCUUUAAUUUACAAUUUGUUUCUUUAGGACUUGCUAAAAAGGAAGGGCAUUCUCAAGAAAUGGAAGAGGUCGUCAACUACAGGACCAUAUGUCGUUGAACCACGACGUUCUGAGCGCAAUGCUGAAAAGAAUUUUUGGAGAUUUGCAACGUCCUUUAGUAUGGACUUAACCGACUGUGACGACAAUGCAUCAUCCAUUCAGCCAUUGCCAAAAAGUGUUAAAAGAAAGAUAGUGGAUGACGUAAAUAUUGGGGAGUAUAGUGGAGUGAGAGAAAGUGAGAUCUCACCUGUUUCUGAAAACCCAAAUCAUGAAAAUGGUACGGAUAGUCCACCCAUGACUCCUCCCACACACAUACAUGAAGAAACGGAAACUCAUGUGAUCAUCCCAACCCUAAUGAGCUACACGAGAACCCUACAAGGCAACCUAAUGUACUAGAUUCUCCUACUACUUGAACAAGGGGAGCACUUCAUAGGUUAACACCCAUCGAGGAGGUUCAUAUUGAGACAGAGGAAAAUGGAGAAGGGUCUGAACCUCCUACCAAAGAACUAGAACCUAAAAAAAGAAGAGGACCUACCAAAAUGAAAACAAUAGCAGUUGAGCCACAAUCAAAGCUAAGCAUAUCUUUUAAUAAGUUUGGAGGGCAAGCAAAUCUCGAUUGGUAAGUCAAAUUCAAACUGCUUCAACUAAUGAGAAGUUGGCUAAACUAAAGCCAGACAAUAUUUCUUCAAUGGAUGAUUGGAUGGAUUUCGUGAAGGAGAAGACAAGUGCUAAAUUCUUGGCGAAGAGUGAAAAAUUCAAGGAGAUGAAGAAAAAACAGCUACCACACACUUGUAGUCAUAAAGGAUAUGCUCGACUGGCAGAAGAGAUGGUAUUAGAUACAUAAUUUUGAUAAUUAGUAUUACAUAUGACAUAACUAAAUAACUUUUAAUUAUUUAUACACGUAGAGAAAUAGCUCUUCUACUCCAAAUAAGGUUACGCGAGUAAUAGUGUGGACAAAAGCACACAUGAGAAAGGAUGGACAGCCCGUUAACUAAGAAGUUGCUGAGACCAUAGUAUGUAAUAGUGUAUCCAUGUCUUAUGAUUACCCUCCCCCAAAUGAACUGUCAUUGUGAAUAUGUAGUUCAUCUCAAUUAGGUGUUUUAAGUUUAUUGCAUCUAGACGUUUUUAUUAUGACCCACCCCCCUCCAUAGACUAUCAUUAUGCUAUCUUUGUGUAUGACUGUUCUUCUUUGUGGAGUUCACUAUUAGUGGUAGUCUUGGGUUUGUUGUCUUCUUAUGGUUAUGUUGAGUUUGUUGGUAUCAUUAGUUGUGAAUGACUUUUGUGAAUAUGUAGUUCAUCUCAAUUAGGUGUUUUAAGUUUAUUGCAUCUAGAUGUUGUUGUCUUCUUGUGGUUAUGUUGAGUUUGUUGGUAUCAUUAGUUGUGAUUGACUUUUCCGAAUAUGUAGUUCAUCUCAAUUAGAUGUUUUAAGUUUAGUGUAUCUAGAUGUUUUUAUUAUGACUCCCCCCUUUUCCAUAGACUAUAAUUGAGUUUGUUUUCUUCUUGUGAGGUUGUUCAUUGUGUGGUUUUGUAGAUAUAAAGUUGAUAUGUAUUAUUGAGUGUGUUAGUUUAUCAAUGGUAGUUUUUGAAAGCUAUUUAAUAUCUUUAAUCUCGUGGGUGUUUUGAAACGUAAUGUUAUGAGCGUUUGGAUCAGAAUACGAGUCAUGAAGGUAUGAGUACUGACAAUAAUGUGGUAGAUGAUGCAAUCAGUAAAGCAUUGGGUCCUGAUCGUGGUUAUGUAAGAGGAUAUGGACAUGGAGUGACAAAAUCAAAGUUUUUGUCUAUGAGUCAAAAUGAUAAUACUAUUACUUUUCUUCAAGAACGAUGCGACCGAAUGACAUCAGAAAUGACUGAGUUGAAGUAUUUGAUAUCUUCCCUACUAGCAGAUAAGGCCAAGUCAAGCGAACAAAAUUCCAAUCAUACUGCAAAUGUAUCGACGUCAGCACAUGUUCCACCAACAAAGUUAAGUUCUCCACUAGUAUGUUUAGUAUUAUAUGUAAGCUUGUAUUGAACUAGUACAUAAAUUUAUUACUCUGAGAUUUUCUUUAUUGGUGAAAUUAGAGUGUUACCAUCAAUAAUAAUGCUCCGCGAAAGUGCAUGUUGCUCGACUGGAAUUGUUUUGGAGAAGUAAUUGCUAAAGGAAGAUGGUCUUCCAAUGAUCCAUCAUUUCUUGUGCAUCACAUCCCUCUCGGUCCAAAUGUUGUACGAGUGUGGGUUGAUACAGUGAAAAAACCAAAUCCGUAUUUAUGGAGGCCCACAUCCGAUAUGAUGGUUAUUGAUGAUGUUGUAGGUACUACGAUUGUUUGGCUUGUUGAUAAAGUAAAAAUAUAAAUAUGUGGGGGAUAUUUGGCACUCCUUGGCAGUACUUUUUGGGUCCUGUUUCUAAUUAUCUAUUCAGUUUUUCACAACAAUGAACUCCUUUAAAUGUCUCAGCUACAUUCAUGUAUUUUAUUUAGCUUCAUAUAUAGCUUGGGAUCUGAACUUUUUUAUGAUGCGUACGUUCUUGAAAUUUGAAGAUUUUGUAUU